UACAGAGGGUGCGAGCGUUGUCCGGAAUCACUGGGCGUAAAGGGCGCGUAGGUGGCUUGAUAAGUAGGGGGUGAAAUCUCGCGGCUCAACUGCGAGGCUGCCUCCUAAACUGUCGGGCUUGAGCAGAGUAGAGGCAGGUGGAAUUCCCGGUGUAGCGGUGGAAUGCGUAGAGAUCGGGAAGAACAUCAGUGGCGAAGGCGGCCUGCUGGGCUGUUGCUGACGCUGAGGCGCGACAGCGUGGGGAGCAAACAGG
rnacentral:rRNA from 1 species